rnacentral:lncRNA from 1 species
AGCCUCCCAAAGUGCUGGGAUUACAGGCGUGAGCCACCGCGCCCGGCUGCAGCAAAAAUUUUAAGUACUGAAAUCCUUUAGAACCAUCCCCAUUGGCAGCAGAACUGAACGGGGCCCCACUACUCUCCAGCGCCAUUUAGCCGCAGUACUAGUGACUACCACCGCAAAGGAAAAGGAAACAAGGCCAGCGCGGCGGCUCAGGCCUGUCAUCCCAGCACUUUGGGAGGCCGAGGCGGCAGAUCACGAGGUCAGGAGAUCGAGACCAUCCUGGCUAACACGGUGAAACCCCGUCUCUAUUAAAAAUACAAAAUUAGCCGGGCGUGGUGGUGCAUGCCUGUAAUCCCAGCUACUCGGGAGGCUGAGACGGGAGAAUCGCCUGAUCCCAGGAGGCAGAGGUUGCCGUGAGCCGAGAUGUCGCCAUUGCACUCCAGCCUGGGCAACAAGAGUGAAACUCCAUCUCAAAAAAAGAAAAAAAGAAAAAGGAACCAAGGCAUGCUAAUUGAAAAAUAACUUUUCAUAUCUAGAAAAACCAGGUGAAUUCAUAAACUAUUGAAACUAAGAAGUCCACAAGAUCAACCCACAAAAAGUUAUUAACAUUCCUAGCAAUAACAAUACUAUUUUAACAGCAACCUAAAUACUAAAAUAAAUGUAACAAAAGUUUUGGACAAAAUUAUGAAACAUGAUAGAAGGUCAUAAAAGAAGGCCUAAAUGGGAGAUUUUUAUGGAUGGGACAAUUCAGUAUCACCAAAGUGUUAACUCUCCCCCAAGUUAAUCUGUGUAUUUCAUCAAAAUUCCAACAGAAUUCUUUGUGGAAUUAGGAAGUUGAUUGUAAUAAACAUAGAAGAUAAAGGUCUGAGUAUAGCCGUGGUGAUUCGGGGAGCAGAGGCAGGAGGAGGAGGGCUCACCUACCAGGCAUCUGGAUAGAUCAUAAACCUGUCAUCAGUCGUGACAAGGGGGAGAGAGGCUAAACUGGUCGAGCAGAAUUCAGAUUCCCAGGCAGGGAUGUGUGCAGGGACCUGGCUUGUCCUGGGGCUGGUCAAUCUUUGGCACGGAAUGGCCUCUUCAGGAACGGGUGUUAU